GCUGYUUYGCUGACGAGUGGCGGACGGGUGAGUAAUGUCUGGGAAACUGCCUGAUGGAGGGGGAUAACUACUGGAAACGGUAGCUAAUACCGCAUAACGUCGCAAGACCAAAGAGGGGGACCUUCGGGCCUCUUGCCAUCGGAUGUGCCCAGAUGGGAUUAGCUWGUWGGUGGGGUAACGGCUCACCWAGGCGACGAUCCCUAGCUGGUCUGAGAGGAUGACCAGCCACACUGGAACUGAGACACGGUCCAGACUCCUACGGGAGGCAGCAGUGGGGAAUAUUGCACAAUGGGCGCAAGCCUGAUGCAGCCAUGCCGCGUGUAAUGAAGAAGGCCUUCGGG
rnacentral:rRNA from 1 species